rfam:Schistosoma mansoni strain Puerto Rico chromosome 5, complete genome
AUCCAGCUGACAAGUCCCAAAUAGGACGAGAGGUGAGUCCUGGAU